rnacentral:rRNA from 1 species
ACCAGACUCCUACGGGAGGCAGCAGUGGGGAAUAUUGCACAAUGGGGGAAACCCUGAUGCAGCAACGCCGCGUGAGUGAAGAAGUAUUUCGGUAUGUAAAGCUCUAUCAGCAGGGAAGAGAAUGACGGUACCUGACUAAGAAGCCCCGGCUAACUACGUGCCAGCAGCCGCGGUAAUACGUAGGGGGCGAGCGUUAUCCGGAUUUACUGGGUGUAAAGGGCGUGCAGCCGGGAAGACAAGUCAGAUGUGAAAUCCCGCGGCUCAACCGCGGAACUGCAUUUGAAACUGUUUUUCUUGAGUACCGGAGAGGUCAUCGGAAUUCCUUGUGUAGCGGUGAAAUGCGUAGAUAUAAGGAAGAACACCAGUGGCGAAGGCGGAUGACUGGACGGCAACUGACGGUGAGGCGCGAAAGCGUGGGGAGCAAACAGGAUUAGAUACCCGCGUAGCC